GGUCUAAUAGUGUAGAGGUUAUGACAUGGGAUUUUGACCUGGAUAUUUCCCAUAACCAAGGUUCGAGUCCUGGUUAGACGU